CAUGUUAGCCAGGAUGGUCUUGAUUUUCUGACCUUGUAAUCCGGCUGCCUCAGCCUCCCAAAGUGCUGGGAUUACAAGCGUGAGCCACUGCGCCCGGCCUAGUUGAGGAGUAAAUGGACUGGAUUAAAGUUAAACCAUAACCCCAAAUUCAGGUUCUUACUAAACCUCUUCAAAGAAAUGGCAGCAUGAUGAGCUUUGAAAAUGUGAAAGAAAAGAGCAGAGAAGGAGGGCCCCAUGCACACACACCCGAAGAAGAAUUGUGUUUCAUGGUAACACACUACCCUCAGGUUCAGACCACACUCAACCUGUUUUUCCAUAUAUUCAAGGUUCUUACUCAACCACUUUCCCUUCUGUGGGGUUGUGAUCAGAAGCCUCUUACUGUUCCUACCCUUGGAAAUGGCGCAUGGGAUACCUGCCAACAACACAUACGCACUUCAUCAUGGACAGCAAACACACUCGUCAUUCAAAACCAGCAUUCACAGGAAAGCACCGUGUCUGUUUGCCUUUUUAUGUUAAUCCGCAUGCAACAUAUUUUGAAAACAGAUACACUUCAACAGUUCAGAAUAUGCUAGUACUAAUAAAACCAACAUGUUAAAUGCUGAA
rnacentral:lncRNA from 1 species